rnacentral:rRNA from 1 species
UACGUAGGGUGCGAGCGUUUAAUCGGAAUUACUGGGCGUAAAGCGUGCGCAGGCGGUUUUGUAAGUCAGAUGUGAAAUCCCCGGGCUCAACCUGGGAACUGCGUUUGAAACUACAAGGCUAGAGUGUAGCAGAGGGGGGUAGAAUUCCACGUGUAGCAGUGAAAUGCGUAGAGAUGUGGAGGAAUACCAAUGGCGAAGGCAGCCCCCUGGGUUAACACUGACGCUCAUGCACGAAAGCGUGGGGAGCAAACAGG